rfam:Oryza sativa (indica cultivar-group) chromosome 9, whole genome shotgun sequence.
AAAAAGGCAAACCCUGGGUUUCCGUGUCCACUUUAACUGUCCGUCUUAUAUGAAAUUUUUUUAUAAUUCGUAUUUUCAUUGUUGUUAGAUGAUAAAACAUGAUUAAUAUUUUAUGGGUGACUUGUCUUUUUAAUUUUUUCAUAACUUUUUCAAAUAAGACAGACGGUCAAACGUUGGGCACGGAAACCAGGGUUUGCCUUUUUU